rnacentral:rRNA from 1 species
UACGGAGGGUGCAAGCGUUAAUCGGAAUUACUGGGCGUAAAGCGUGCGCAGGCGGUUCGCCAAGUCAGGUGUGAAAUCCCCGGGCUUAACCUGGGAAUUGCGCUUGAAACUAGCGGGCUUGAGUGUGGCAGAGGGGGGUGGAAUUCCACGUGUAGCAGUGAAAUGCGUAGAGAUGUGGAGGAACACCGGUGGCGAAGGCGGCGAUCUGGGUAGAUACUGACGCUGAGGUGCGAAAGCGUGGGGAGCAAACAGG